CAGAUAUUAGUUUAAUUAAAAUAUUAAUUUUGGAGAUUAAUGAUAAGUAUUUACUUAUACCUGA
rnacentral:tRNA from 1 species